UACGUAGGGUCCGAGCGUUGUCCGGAAUUAUUGGGCGUAAAGAGCUCGUAGGCGGUCUGUCGCGUCGGCUGUGAAAACACGGGGCUCAACUCCGUGCCUGCAGUCGAUACGGGCAGACUAGAGUUCGGUAGGGGAGACUGGAAUUCCUGGUGUAGCGGUGAAAUGCGCAGAUAUCAGGAGGAACACCGGUGGCGAAGGCGGGUCUCUGGGCCACUACUGACGCUGAGAAGCGAAAGCAUGGGGAGCGAACAGG
rnacentral:rRNA from 1 species